rnacentral:misc_RNA from 1 species
GAUGAAGAACGUAGCGAAAUGCGACAAGUAAUGUGAAUUGCAGAAUUCCGUGAAUCAUCGAAUCUUUGAACGCACAUUGCGCCCCCUGGUAUUCCGGGGGGCAUGCCUGUCCGAGCGUCAUUACAACCCUCAAGCUCAGCUUGGUGUUGGGCCCCGCCGCCCCGGCGGGCCCUAAAGUCAGUGGCGGUGCCGUCCGGCUCCGAGCGUAGUAAUUCUUCUCGCUCUGGAGGUCCGGUCGUGUGCUCGCCAGCAACCCCCAAUUUUUUUCAGGUUGACCUCGGAUCAGGUAGGGAUACCCGCUGAACUUAAGCAUAUCAAUAAGCGGAGGA